GAUGAACGCUGGCGGCGUGCCUAAUACAUGCAAGUCGAGCGAACAGACGAGGAGCUUGCUCCUCUGACGUUAGCGGCGGACGGGUGAGUAACACGUGUAUAACCUACCUAUAAGACGGGGAUAACUUCGGGAAACCGGAUCUAAUACCGUAUAAUAUAUUGAACCACAUGGGUCAAUAGUGAAAGUCGGUUUUGCUGGCACGUAUCGCUGGUUCCGCGCCGCUUUAUCUAGUUGUUACGGUAACGGCUUACCAAGGCAAGCAGGCGUAGCCGACCUGAGAGAGGGAUCGGCCACACGGGAACUGAGACAGGGACCAGACUCCUACGGGAGGCAGCAGUAGGGAAUGUUCCGCAAUGGGCGAAAGCCUGACGGAGCAACGCCGCGCGAGUGAUGAAGGUCCUCGGAUCGUAAAACUCUGUUAUUAGUGAAGAACAAAUGUGUAAGUAACUAUGCACGUCUUGACGGUACCUAGUCAGAAAGCCACGGCUAACUACGUG
rnacentral:rRNA from 1 species